AAUGAACGCUGGCGGCAUGCUUUACACAUGCAAGUCGAGCGGCAGCGCGGGGCAACCUGGCGGCGAGCGGCGGACGGGUGAGUAGAGCAUCGGAACGUAUCCCGUAGUGGGGGACAACCCAGCGAAAGCUGGGCUAAUACCGCAUAUGCUCUACGGAGGAAAGUGGGGGACUCGCAAGGGCCUCACGCUAUGGGAGCGGCCGAUGUCCGAUUAGCUAGUUGGUGGGGUAAAGGCCCACCAAGGCGACGAUCGGUAGCUGGUCUGAGAGGAUGAUCAGCCACACUGGGACUGAGACACGGCCCAGACUCCUACGGGAGGCAGCAGUGGGGAAUUUUGGACAAUGGGGGCAACCCUGAUCCAGCCGUGCCGCGUGCGGGAAGAAGGUCUUCGGGUUGUAAACCGCUUUUGUCUGGGAAGAAAAGGCCUCGUCUAAUGCACGGGGUUCUUGACGGUACUGGAAGAAUAAGCACCGGCUAACUACGUGCCAGCCGCCGCCGUAAAAC
rnacentral:rRNA from 1 species